GCUGUACUUGCAUCAAAAGAGAAGCCCCUAUCAGCCAUUUCCUUCAUAAAAGUUCUUAUUUCACUAAAUUUGCUCCACCUGAGAAAUCCUUGCACAAACACAUUGUAAGUGACAUGGUCUGGCAAACAACUAUUCUUCUUCAUUUUUCUUGGCAUACUUUUAGCUUCAUCUAACAAUCCUUGUCGACAAAAUCCAGUUAUCAUUGUAUUGUAUGUUCUCACAUCCGGAGGCAAUCCGAUCAAAGAAAGCUUCUCAAAAACAGAUUGAGCUUCAUCCAGUUUACCAUUUUUGCACAAUCCAUUAAUGACAACCGUGUAAAAUGCAAUAUUUGUAUUUUCUCGCUUUCUUUCCAACUUAUUAAAGAGUGACAUAGCUUCUUCAACAAGUCCGUACCUAAAAUAACCAUCAAGCACAGUGGAAUGAGUGCAUAUAUUAGGUUUCGGCCCCACAGAUAGCAUGUCGGCAUAAAUUUGUUUUGCAUCACCAAUUCUUCCAACUUCAAACAGACCUUGCAAGAUAGUAUUGUAUGUAACAGUAUUAGGUUUUGAUCCCCUUUGCGAAAUUUCACUAAGCAAUUGCAUAGCAUCAGCUAUUUUCUUUUUCUUGCAGUAUCCUUUUAUUAGUAUGUUAUAGCUAAUGAUGUCAGGCUCAAUGCCCUUGUUCAUCAAGAUAUCAAAAAUUCUCCUUGCUCUAUCCACUUGACCACGCAAACAAUAUCCAUCCAUUAUCACGUUGUAGGUGAUUAUAUUAGGCUCUACACCUUGACAAAAUCCAGUUAUCAUUGUAUUGUAUGUUCUCACAUUCGGAGGCAAUCCGAUCAAAGAAAGCUUCUCAAAAACAGAAUGAGCUUCAUCCAGUUUACCAUUUUUGCACAAUCCAUUAAUGACAACCGUGUAAAAUGCAAUAUUUGUAUUUUCUCGCUUUCUUUCCAACUUAUUAAAGAGUGACAUAACUUCUUCAACAAGUCCGUACCUAAAAUAACCAUCGAUCACAGUGGAAUGAGUGUAUAUAUUAGGUUUGGGUCCCGCAGAUAGCAUCUCAGCAUAAACUCGUUUUGCAUCACCAAUUCUUCCAACUUCAAACAGACCAUGCAAGAUAGUACUGUAGGUAACAGUUUCAGGUUUUAAUCCCUUUUGAGAAAUUUCACCAAACAAUUGCAUGGCCUCAGCAAGAUUCUUUCUCUUACAAUAUCCGUUUAUUAGUAUGCUAUAGCUAAAAAUGUCAGGCUCAAUGCACUUAUCAAUCAUUAUAUCAAAAACUCUCCUUGCUCUAUCCACUUGACCACGCAAACAAUAUCCAUCCAUUAUCACACUGUAG
rnacentral:lncRNA from 1 species